UACGUAGGGUGCAAGCGUUAAUCGGAAUUACUGGGCGUAAAGCGUGCGCAGGCGGUGAUGUAAGACAGAUGUGAAAGCCCCGGGCUUAACCUGGGAAUGGCCGUCGAAACUGGCGAACUGGAGUGUGGCAGAGGGGGUGGAAUUCCGGCGUGUAGCAGUGAAAUGCGUAGAGAUGCGGAGGAACACCGAUGGCGAAGGCAGCCCCCUGGGCUGACACUGACGCUCAGGCACGAAAGCGUGGGAGCAAACAGG
rnacentral:rRNA from 1 species